GCCUUCGUGGUGUAGCGGUAGCACGCUGGGCCGGUAUUCCAGAGGUCCCGUGGUUCGAUUCCCGGCGAAGGCG
rnacentral:tRNA from 1 species